ensembl:lncRNA
CCCAGCGCCCGCUCCCAUCGCCAUGGCAACCCGGAGCCCGAAUCCUUGUCCACGGACUUUAGGAACCUCAUUAAAUCAGGCAGCAGGACAGCAGCUGUGGGCUCAAUGUGUUCUGCUGACAGCCGGGGACUCGCUUUAUGGUGCUCAGGCAAAAUUGGUUGUAUUGCUGAUGGAUGAUUCCCCUGGUGAAAGGUGGUCAUCCAGAGGAUAUCCGUGGUUCCAGUCAUUUCCAAAGGACCAAAUUAAACAAGGAAAACACUGAACUACAUAAAAUCAGCAUGUUACAAACCCCAAGAUCCCAAAACUGUGGAUUAGCUGGAGACAUGACAGAGUCCACAGCCCACUUGUUUGAGAGGAAUCACCUUAAAUUUCUUGGUCUUUUGGUGUCAGAAACAUCCAAUUUACACUGUAGAGGAAACCUGUCGUCAGAUAAAGGGCAUCCAGGUGGGAAGAACCAUCUUCUGAAGUUCUUCUUGAAGUACAUGAAUGUGUGCAUGCUGAAGACUUAAACCUUA